GAUCUGGCUCAGGAUGAACGCUAGCUACAGGCUUAACACAUGCAAGUCGAGGGGCAGCAGAUCGAAAGCUUGCUUUGAUGCUGGCGACCGGCGCACGGGUGAGUAACGCGUAUCCAACCUUCCCUAUAGUAGAGAAUAGCCCGGCGAAAGUCGGAUUAAUGCUCUAUGUUGUAUUUAGAAGACAUCUGAAGAAUACCAAAAGGUUUACCGCUAUAGGAUGGGGAUGCGUCUGAUUAGGUUGUUGGCGGGGUAACGGCCCACCAAGCCCACGAUCAGUAGGGGUUCUGAGAGGAAGGUCCCCCACAUUGGAACUGAGACACGGUCCAAACUCCUACGGGAGGCAGCAGUGAGGAAUAUUGGUCAAUGGACGGAAGUCUGAACCAGCCAAGUAAGCGUGCAGGAUGACGGCCCUAUGGGUUGUAAACUGCUUUUAUACAGGGAUAAAGUGAGGGACGUGUCCCUUUUUGUAGGUACUGUAUGAAUAAGGACCGGCUAAUUCCGUGCCAGCCGCCGC
rnacentral:rRNA from 1 species